GACGAACGCUGGCGGCGUGCUUAACACAUGCAAGUCGAACGAAGUGGCGAACGGGUGAGUAACGCGUAAUCAACCUUCCCUUCAGAGGGGGACAACAGUUGGAAACGACUGCUAAUACCGCAUACUGAGGGCGUGGAUUGCGUCUGAUUAGCUAGUUGGAGGGGUAAUGGCCCACCAAGGCGAUGAUCAGUAGUCGGCCUGGGAGGAUGAACGGCCACAUUGGGACUGAGACAAGGCCCAGACUCCUACGGGAGGCAGCAGUUGGGAAUCUUCCGCAAUGGACGAAAGUCUGACGGAGCAACGCCGCGUGAGUGAUGACGGCCUUCGGGUUGUAAAGCUCUGUUAAUCGGGACGCGGUACCGGAAUAGAAAGCGACGGCUAACUACGUGCCAGCCGCCGCGGUAAUUC
rnacentral:rRNA from 1 species